UUGAAUAAACCUGAACAGGCUGUUGCUGGCCCAAUCUUUGUUGGGUAUGUGCACGCUUGUCAUUUUUAUCUCUCCAAGCUUGUGCACAUAUUGUAGACCUCUGGAAUUUUGUGUUUGUCCGACUCAAGUCGGUGCAGAUUAAGAAAUUGCUGCGCUUGUCAAGUCAGCUUUGUCUUUUGGUUUGCCCUAGGGGUCUAUAUAUUAUUUUAUUUACAAACAUGUUUUAGAGUGUCGAGUUGAAUAUAAAAAUUAAACGUA
rnacentral:misc_RNA from 1 species